rnacentral:rRNA from 1 species
AGCAAAAUCUCAACUUUAUUAGAAGAGACGCAUUUAUUAGAUAAAAAGCCAAUGCAUGCUUUUACAGUAUGGAAAUUGGUGAUUUAUAAUAACUUGGCAAAUCGCAAAGUGAAAACAGGCGAUAAAUCAUUCAAGUUUCUGACCUAUCAGCUUUCGACGGUAUGGUAUUGGCUUACCGUGGCAGUGACGGUUAACGGGGGAUUAGGGUUCGAUUCCGGAGAGGGAGCCUGAGAAACGGCUACCACAUCUAAGGAAGGCAGCAGGCGCGCAAAUUACCCAAUUCUAACAGUUUGAGAGAGGUAGUAACAAGAAAUAACAAUACAAGGCAAUUAAAAUGUUUUGUAAUUGGAAUGAUAGAAAUUUAAACCCUUUUUAAAGUAUCAAUUGGAGGGCAAGUCUGGUGCCAGCAGCCGCGGUAAUUCCAGCUCCAAUAGCGUAUAUUAAAAUUGUUGCAGUUAAAAAGCUCGUAGUUGAAGUUCUGCUAAAAGUAACCGGUCUGCUUUUAAUAAAAGUGGUAUCUUGGUGUGUAUUUAGCAAUGAUGUCCUUUGAAGUGUUUUUUACUUUAUUGUAAUAAAGCAUAUUCAGGACUUUUACUUUGAGAAAAUUAGAGUGUUUCUAGCAGGCCGACGCUUUGAAUACUGCAGCAUGGAAUAAUAAG